UUGCAAUGAUGACCAUUUAGGACACCUUUGUAUUACACAUGAAAAGAAUUUUUAAAAAUCUGAGCAAU
ensembl:snoRNA SNORD58 Small nucleolar RNA SNORD58